rnacentral:rRNA from 1 species
ACGGAAGGCAGCAGUGAGGAAUAUUGGUCAAUGGGCGGAAGCCUGAACCAGCCAAGUCGCGUGAAGGAUGAAGGUAUUAUGUAUUGUAAACUUCUUUAGACGUAGAGAAAUAAGGAGGUCGUGACCUCUGAUGCUAGUAUACGUAGAAUAAGGAUCGGCUAACUCCGUGCCAGCAGCCGCGGUAAUACGGAGGAUGCAAGCGUUAUCCGGAUUUAUUGGGUUUAAAGGGUGCGUAGGCUGUGGUCCAAGUCAGGGGUGAAAGCCCGACGCUUAACGCCGGAACUGCCUUUGAUACUGGAUUGCUGGAAUACGGAUGCCGUGGGAGGAAUGAGUAGUGUAGCGGUGAAAUGCAUAGAUAUUACUCAGAACACCGAUUGCGAAGGCAUCUCACGAAUCCGUCAUUGACGCUGAGGCACGAAAGCGUGGGGAUCAAACAGGAUUAGAUACCCUGGUA